CACGACAUCUAACUCUCCGUGGUUUGGCCGGAAAAUGCCUCGAAAGUUCCGGUCAAACUUUGAACUUUCCGAUCUCUGUGUUUUUGCGUCCAAAACUUCCAACGAAGCACUCCGAGCUUCCUAAGAACCUCCUUAAGCUCACUAUGAGCUUAAAAACUCCUAAAAAUCAACCAAUAAUUAUUGCAUGAACAGUGACUCAAACGGAGGUAAGUGGUUCGACGUGAAAACGGUGGAAAUCUUACCUGAAACUAGUAUGGAUGAACUCGUAUUGACGAGAUGAACACGAUGGUGAUCUUUGUUUCCUCGAUCUAUGAAGAUUUGGAGCUUGCUCAUGGAGUUGCAGAGGGAGAGAGGGCUCACGGGGAUAGAGAAAAAGAAGAAUAAGAAAUAUGGCGUGGGAGAGGGAGAAGAGAAAGAGAGAAAGAUGCUUCUCUGAUUGAGGUGGGGGACAGAACGUACAGAAAAAAAAA
rnacentral:lncRNA from 1 species